GACGAACGCUGGCGGCGUGCCUAAUACAUGCCAGUUGAGCGCUGAAGGUUGGUACUUGUACCAACUGGAUGAGCAGCGAACGGGUGAGUAACGCGUGGGGAAUCUGCCUUUGAGCGGGGGACAACAUUUGGAAACGAAUGCUAAUACCGCAUAAAAACUUUAAACACAAGUUUUAAGUUUGAAAGAUGCAAUUGCAUCACUCAAAGAUGAUCCCGCGUUGUAUUAGCUAGUUGGUGAGGUAAAGGCUCACCAAGGCGAUGAUACAUAGCCGACCUGAGAGGGUGGUCGGCCAAAUUGGGACUGAGACACGGCCCAAACUCCUACGGGAGGCAGCAGUAGGGAAUCUUCGGCAAUGGACGAAAGUCUGACCGAGCAACGCCGCGUGAGUGAAGAAGGUUUUCGGAUCGUAAAACUCUGUUGGUAGAGAAGAACGUUGGUGAGAGUGGAAAGCUCAUCAAGUGACGGUAACUACCCAGAAAGGGACGGCUAACUACGUG
rnacentral:rRNA from 1 species